AGACAACUUCUGGCUAUAUUGCCCUGACUGGUCUUGAACUCUUGCCUCAAACAAUCCUCCCGCCUAGUCCUCCCAAAGUGCAAUGAUUACAGGCAUGAGCCACCAUGCCUGGCCUUGAGAUGUAUUGUACAUUAUGAUGACUACAGUUGAGAAUAAGAUAUUGUUUACUGAAACUGGCUAAGAGAGUGGAUUUGAAAUGUUUUCAUCAUAAAAGAAAGUUUAAAGGAAAGCAUUGGAACAGUAGCCAUCAAGAUAUAACACUGUCAUGCCAGAGAAUAAUUCCAGUGAUGUGACCAUUCAGCCCAGGGAAACAGUCUGAGAGGCCAUCAAGACAAUGUCGCACCUGCAGGGGACUCCACUUGCUGCGUCCACCUUGGGAAGAAGAUGAAGCAGACACUGGCAUACGCCAUGGAGAGGGUGGUGGAGCCUGCUGCUGGAGCAGUUUUCACUGUGACAGACUCCCCGAGACUCUGGAUGUCCCGCCUUCUCACCUGUGACACUGAUGCGAUCAUGCCUUUGGAUCUACCCUUCCGGCUCAGCUGGCGCCUUUCACUGUUUCUGCUGCAGACUCACCUUCAGGCUUUGCACCCUAUUCCAGACUAGAGUGCGGUUGCAUGACCUGGGCUCACUGCAGCCGCCACCUCCUGGGUUCCUGCACUUCUCCUGCCCCAGCCUCCCAAGUAGCCGGGAUUACAGUUUUGGUGACUCAUUUCCUCACUUGAGACACAGAAAUAUGAAUGCAGUGUCAACCAACUAUAAAGGAGUGUCAUGAGAGUUCUGGCCAUGGAGUAAUCAUAAUUCUACUUGGUAUGUGAUUUGACUGCACUUAUUCAUAAUACAAUACUCAAGGGUUUGAAUAUCCUUAUAUUAUUUUUGGCUCUGCUGUGAACUAGAACGUGAUGGAAAAUCACUCCCUGCCCAGCACCCGGGGCUGCAGUGUCCAUAAAAGGUGAUAUG
rnacentral:lncRNA from 13 species